rnacentral:rRNA from 1 species
CAAUAGCGUAUAUUAAAGUUGUUGCGGUUAAAAAGCUCGUAGUUGGAUUUCUGUGAGAGCGUCUGCGUCGGCUGAUGCUUGUGCGCAGGUGCUCUUACAUCCUUCUGUUAACUGUUCUUGGCAUUCAUUUGCUGGUUCAGGGCUCAGAUAUUUUACCUUGAGAAAAUUAGAGUGUUUCAGGCAGGCUUAUGCACGGAAUACAUUAGCAUGGAAUAAUAGAAUAGGACCUGUGCGUCUUUCGGGGCGCCGGUCUCUGUUGUUGGUUUCGGGGACUAAAGUAAUGAUUAAUAGGGAUAGUUGGGGGCAUUAGUAUUUAAUAGUCAGAGGUGAAAUUCUCGGAUUUGUUAAAGACUAACUUAUGCGAAAGCAUUUGCCAAGGAUGUUUUCAUUAAUCAAGAACGAAAGUUAGGGGAUCAAAGAUGAUUAGAUACCGU